AAAGGGAGACCUAAUUCGGGUAUAAGACGAAAAAAUAGUAGUCGAAACCAAGAAUCAAUCCCAAAAGGUCGGAACGAGGUAUGAGGCUUUCAAACUAGGUUCUGGGUUCAUAAAAGACCUGAAUCAGGAACAAGGGCUAUUAGCUCAGGUGGUUAGAGCGCACCCCUGAUAAGGGUGAGGUCCCUGGUUCGAGUCCAGGAUGGCCCACCUGCACAGGUGGCAAAAAAAAGAAAAGAAGCGAGGAAUCAGCACCUUAUCUUAUCUAUAUAUAAGAGAGAAUGCUGGCUCUGAGUACAGAGUCCAGAGGAACCUUGAAAACUGCAUAGAGCUAGGUGAAAAAGCCAAAAAAGAAGACCGCAAG
rnacentral:tRNA from 1 species